UACGUAGGGCGCAAGCGUUAUCCGGAAUUAUUGGGCGUAAAGAGCUCGUAGGCGGUUUGUCGCGUCUGCUGUGAAAUCCCGAGGCUCAACCUCGGGCCUGCAGUGGGUACGGGCAGACUAGAGUGCGGUAGGGGAGAUUGGAAUUCCUGGUGUAGCGGUGGAAUGCGCAGAUAUCAGGAGGAACACCGAUGGCGAAGGCAGAUCUCUGGGCCGUAACUGACGCUGAGGAGCGAAAGGGUGGGGAGCAAACAGGCUUAGAUACCCUGGUAGUCCACCCCGUAAACGUUGGGAACUAGUUGUGGGGUCCUUUCCACGGAUUCCGUGACGCAGCUAACGCAUUAAGUUCCCCGCCUGGGGAGUACGGCCGCAAGGCUAAA
rnacentral:rRNA from 1 species